GAAAGCAGAUUACUUCGGUUUGAAGCUUUCUUUGACUGAGUGGCGGACGGGUGAGUAACGCGUGGGUAACCUGCCUCAUACAGGGGGAUAACAGUUAGAAAUGACUGCUAAUACCGCAUAAGCGCACGGUUUCGCAUGGAACAGUGUGAAAAACUCCGGUGGUAUGGGAUGGACCCGCGUCUGAUUAGCUGGUUGGCGGGGUAACGGCCCACCAAGGCGACGAUCAGUAGCCGGCCUGAGAGGGUGAACGGCCACAUUGGGACUGAGACACGGCCCAAACUCCUACGGGAGGCAGCAGUGGGGAAUAUUGCACAAUGGGGGAAACCCUGAUGCAGCGACGCCGCGUGAAGGAAGAAGUAUUUCGGUAUGUAAACUUCUAUCAGCAGGGAAGAAAAUGACGGUACCUGACUAAGAAGCCCCGGCUAACUACGUGCCAGCAGCCGCGGUAAUACGUAGGGGGCAAGCGUUAUCCGGAUUUACUGGGUGUAAAGGGAGCGUAGGCGGCGAUGCAAGUCAGAAGUGAAAGCCCGGGGCUCAACUCCGGGACUGCUUUUGAAACUGUGUUGCUAGAUUGCAGGAGAGGUAAGUGGAAUUCCUAGUGUAGCGGUGAAAUGCGUAGAUAUUAGGAGGAACACCAGUGGCGAAGGCGGCUUACUGGACUGUAAAUGACGCUGAGGCUCGAAAGCGUGNGGAGCAAACAGGAUUAGAUACCCUGGUAGUCCNCGCCGU
rnacentral:rRNA from 1 species